GACGAACGCUGGCGGCGUGCCUAAUACAUGCAAGUCGAGCGCAGGAAGUCGACGGAACCCUUCGGGGGGAAGUCGACGGAAUGAGCGGCGGACGGGUGAGUAACACGUAAAGAACCUGCCCUCAGGUCUGGGAUAACCACGAGAAAUCGGGGCUAAUACCGGAUGGGUCAUCGGACCGCAUGGUCCGAGGAUGAAAGGCGCUCCGGCGUCGCCUGGGGAUGGCUUUGCGGUGCAUUAGCUAGUUGGUGGGGUAAUGGCCCACCAAGGCGACGAUGCAUAGCCGACCGGAGAGGGGGAUCGGCCACACUGGGACUGAGACACGGCCCAGACUCCUACGGGAGGCAGCAGUAGGGAAUCUUCCACAAUGGACGAAAGUCUGAUGGAGCAACGCCGCGUGAGCGAUGAAGGCCUUCGGGUCGUAAAGUUCUGUUGUAAGGGAAGAACAAGUGCCGCAGGCAAUGGCGGCACCUUGACGGUACCUUGCGAGAAAGCCACGGCUAACUACGUGCCAGCCGCCGCGGUAACAC
rnacentral:rRNA from 1 species